rnacentral:sRNA from 14 species
UAGUAGAUGCACCCUGAUAACUAAUUUCCCCUAGUUGGCUAACACCGCUGGGGGUUUUUUUU